UGGGGAAUAUUGCACAAUGGGGGAAACCCUGAUGCAGCAACGCCGCGUGAAGGAAGACGGUUUUCGGAUUGUAAACUUCUGUUCUUAGUGAAGAAUAAUGACGGUAGCUAAGGAGCAAGCCACGGCUAACUACGUGCCAGCAGCCGCGGUAAUACGUAGGUGGCAAGCGUUGUCCGGAAUUACUGGGUGUAAAGGGAGCGUAGGCGGGAAGCCAAGUCAGCUGUGAAAACUACGGGCUUAACUUGUAGACUGCAGUUGAAACUGGUUUUCUUGAGUGAAGUAGAGGUUGGCGGAAUUCCGAGUGUAGCGGUGAAAUGCGUAGAUAUUCGGAGGAACACCGGUGGCGAAGGCGGCCAACUGGGCUUUAACUGACGCUGAGGCUCGAAAGUGUGGGGAGCAAACAGGAUUAGAUACC
rnacentral:rRNA from 1 species